CAAAUGUGUUGGUUAUUAAUACUGACUGAUAAUUCCAUCUGACAUAUAAUGUUCAAAUCGUGUACCAUUUCACACUUGGAGGCUUGCUUUUUUUAGUGAAGUGACCCUUUGCUUUCCUCCCAGUUCUCCCCAUGGGUCUCAGGCCUUGAAAUGGGCUAAGUGCAGCCAUCAGGUGUAAAGGCAGUUUUGGUCUUAGAUGCUGUUAUGACAAAGAGCAAGCGUCACACUCUCUCCUCCCUACAGUUUACAGAAACUUGGAAAAUUAACAAAGGGAAAUGCAAAGAAUUGGAAUAUGACCAUCACUUAUACACCUUGGCAUUUGAGAAUGAAAGGCAAAUAGCAGAUGAUGGAGCAAACACAAAUGGGCAGAGGACAGCAUGUGGCCCUCCCUAAUGGAAUGGGCCUUGUCUGGUCUGCUGAAGGUCUGAAUCCACACAAAGGCUGCCUCUUCUACCAAUAAAGGGUGCUUCUGCCUGAUCAUCUUGAACUACCAAGUGAGUCUUUUCCUUCCUUUGACUCAAACUGAAACAUCUGGUCUGAGCUUUCAAAACUGCUAGAUUUUGGUCUGGAACCUACCCCAUCAGCUUGCCUGGGUCUCCAACUUCUGACUGAAGAAGCCAGAGUCUGUCUGUCUGUCUGUCAUCUGUCUCUCUCUCUCCAUACAUGUGUGUGUGCCUGUGUGUGUGUCUGUGUAUGUGUGUGUGUGUGUGUGUGUGUAUACACACACACACAU
rnacentral:lncRNA from 1 species